rnacentral:lncRNA from 1 species
GAUCUCCUAGCCAUUCAAAAUCCUGAGGUAUAUGUUGGCUGUAGCAUAUUCAUUGUAGGAAUUAGAUUGCACCAAGAUGGGAUUUAUCAAUCUCGAUAGAUAAGAGGAAUAGUCCUAUGAUGAUCGAAAGAUUAAGUCCUUAAGCCCAUAGCCAUGGCAGAGUGAAAUAAUGGAAAAGAGUUUUUCAUCAAGAUUUCACAUCAGACUUGGAUCGAUCGAUUGAUUCAUAUGACUGAUGUUGGGUUUGACGAGUUUACCUUAACACUAAUUC